CUCUCCCUGCCCCCAUCUCAUUCUCCCUCCGCCGCCGCCCCCAUCAUCUCCUUCCUUCUCCCCGAUCCACUCCUUUUCGUCAUCCGCUCAUCGACCGCUCCGACGGUCUCUCCUUCCUCCACCCAAUCCCCACCUCCAGGCCACUCCCGUACUUCCUCCACUCGUAAUCCUAGUGGAAACCAUCACCCCUACACACCAUCGUCUACUAUCCCCUCCGCCCUAUCUUCACGAGGAUGGUUGAUCCGCAACAUGUGUUGCUGAUCUGCCUAGUUUGACGGCGGCGGCAGCCCGACUGAUGAGAUCCGCGUCUUGGGCGCGCGUAGAUCCAACAUGGGCUCAACCCCCAUUGUUGGCCUUGUUGGAGCGGAGCGACCGUGCGGUGGCCGGUCUAUGACAAUGGCUCACGGGAGGCCGUAGCCCUCGCCGCCACUGGAUUCUGGUAUGGCUCCCGCCCCUUCUGUUGGCUUCCUUGACACCAUGGCCUCAUUCUGCUGCUUCGACCACAGGUUAGGUUCAUUUGCCUAAGCCGUUAGCCAUAACAGCCGUUUGUGGGCAUGGUGGUAAGCCUAAGGCUGGUGUGUGGCCUCCCUCUUCAAUCGAUUGCUUAAGCUUGGCUACUGCCUUCUCCAAAUCUUAGGGUGUGUGUGUCCAUGCUGACAUGGCGGCGACAGCGUCUAUCGAGGGCUACAACGUGUAUAUGAGUGAGAUGUGUGUGCGUGCAGUAGCCGGUGUGUUGUGUUUGUGGGUUUCCUCUGAAUCUUUAACACUGAAUUUUCUCUGUAUCUUUACACUGCAGGGUACCUAGUAGAGACAGGAGGCAGGUCGACCUCCUUGAUUAUGAUCUCUGUUUUUUCGGAUGUAGGUCUAUGUGGUGCCGUAAUUUUGCCGAGAUACCCUGCCUGCACUGUAAAGAUAUAGAGAAUUAAUUUAGUUUAAUUUUCUCUGAAUUUAUACGAGGCCUAGGUGGUCGGCCUGCCAUAGUUUGUUGUACACACUGCCGGUGGUGUACUAUUGCGGAGGUUGACCUGGCUUGUCUAAUACUAGUAGGCAGGUCGACCUGCCAUAGUUUCUUAUACACGCUGUAGUUCACUGAAUUAAACACGAGUUGAAGAAACUACAGUAGUUCAUCAACCAGCUGCACUGGGCUAUGUGGGCUUCUAUCAAGAUCUAAUUUAGUUUAAUUUUCUACCAAGAUCUAAUUCAGUUUAUAUUUUUUUGACAGUUUGAUGUGUCUCUGUUCUGUAAAUCAAUAUAAUUAAAUGUUCUAUAUGCAUUCAGUUUAGUUUUCUAUCAAAAUAUAAUUCAGUAUGUAUCAAUGUAAUCAGGUGGUGAAUAAUUUCAUCAAAUAGGAGACAUAAUUUCUGUUAGUGUAUUAAUAUGGCGACAUGUUCUAUUUAGAGGUUUCUCCAUACACUUCUGUCCAUAUUGUCAACUGCAGCUCAUUGAAUAUAUAUAACCAGAAUUAAGUUUAAUCUGAAUCUAAGAAGAAAAUUAUGUUGGUACAGUGGCAGUCCUAUAUCUGUACUGCAGAGGUUUAAACUUGUUCAUUUGUGUACUAAGCACAUGUAGUACUGCUACUAUUAGUUGUGCGCCUACUAGUACUAGAACCAAUGCAUGUAAGUUCACUCUCCCUCAACCUGGAGGCACGCACCAAGCUAGCAGUUGCCAACAUAGUGACACAUAUUUCUUCAACUCAUGUGCUCCCUGCCAGGUCGACCUCCAUAGUAGUUUUGCCGACAAGUAAGGAUUGAUGUCUACUCUCUGAUCCUAAAUCUUUUCCUUGAUGUUUUCCCAUCUUUUUUAUGAUCAAUUAACACUGUAAUCUCCUUGAUUAUGAUUUCUGUUUUUCAGGAUGUACGUAGGUCUAGGCGGUGCCAUAGUAGCUGUGCCGCUGCAUGGCGCAAAAUAGAGCUCGAGAGGGCGGCCAUGAUAACUGUGGUGGAGCUGCUCUGUGAUCAUCCAGGGGCUUGCUCUACUGCCACUCCUAUGAUUUCUCCGGUAUGAUUGGGUAGCAGGCUUCUUGGUGCUGGCCAUCACAAUCCGCCAUGACAUGAUACUUACCAUUAGGAGGGCUGAUGACAAGAACCUGAAUAACAAGCUCAAUAGUAUCAUAUGUUCUGUUGUUGUAAAUUGGAUUGUAUUGGUUCCUAACCUUGUUGUGUGAUAUAUUUUGGCAAUAUAUUUUGUAAAUUAUCAUUUCAUGGAGGAUUUUGUAAGUUGAUGUGGUAUAUAUAAAAAUGGAUGGAUGCAUAUUGAA